CGUCAGGCCUUGGCUCCCAGUGCCACCCCCUGGUUUGCAAAUUGGAUCUGGCACGUGCUCACGCGUGCUCCUGAGCGGAGGCUGUGCUGCGGUCCCGCAGCUGUGUGGUGGCAGGGCUUAGGAAGAGGGUGCCGAAAUCCUGGCCACCGAAGGGCUUUGGUUCGUGGGCCUCGUCCUGUCUGCAAGCUAAAGCACCGCUGAGGUUUCUGUAGCAAGGGCCCCUUCUUCCUGAGGAGCUCAUCUCUCUCCGCUGCUCCAGGAAGCCCCAGCUGCCUGCCCCAGCCGUCCAUCAACUUGAUCACAAAAUUCAAUCCCAAAAUGCCUGUGCGUGGGGUGGGAUGCGGGCACUUCUCAGCAUCAAACCUGCCCUCUUGGAGCCUCCCACCAAGAGAGGAGAGCUGAGCCACAUCCAGCCUUUCCUCAUCCGUUUCGGCUGCCCCCGCUGUUUGCAGCUGGCUCGGAUGCUAUCAUCCCACGGGCAGAAUUCCAGGGGGGGCAUCACUGCCGAUGUCCCAUGGGUCCCACGCGGGGGGAGUACUCAGGCUCAAGCUCCAUCUGUCACAGGCACGCCAACCCAGCGUGGCAGCACCGGUGUACGGCGACAGGUAAGAAACUGCUGAUGUCAACUGUUAAAUACAAGUCACUUAACUGUUUUUAUUUGUUUUUAAAUUAGGACGGAGAAGAAGAAUUUAACCGUGCUAAGCUGCUGAAUAUAGGAUUCGCAGAGGCUUUGAAAGAGUAUGACUAUGAUUGCUUUGUGUUUAGUGACGUAGACCUCAUCCCAAUGGAUGACAGGAACACUUACAAAUGUUACAGCCAGCCACGGCACCUCUCUGUAUCCAUGGACAAAUUCGGAUUUCGGUUGCCUUACAAUCAGUAUUUUGGAGGUGUGUCUGCCUUGAGCAAAGAGCAGUUCACAAAGAUCAAUGGGUUUCCAAACAAUUACUGGGGCUGGGGUGGCGAAGAUGAUGACAUUUAUAACAGGCUGGUGUUUAAAGGCAUGGGGAUAUCCCGACCGGAUGCCAUCAUUGGGAAGUGCAGAAUGCGGCAUUCCCGGGACCGCAAGAACGAACCCAACCCCGAGAGGUUUGACCGAAUUGCUCACACACGGGAGACAAUGAGCUCUGACGGCUUAAAUACACUAUCCUACAAGGUGUUAAGAACUGACAAGUACCCUCUGUAUACAAAGAUCACAGUGGAUAUUGGCUCGCCGAACAGCUAACAUCACAGGCACAAGAGAGACCUUGCCUCCGUGGCCCGGGGCGGCUGGCCUCACUGAUGCUUUAUAUCUGCUGGUUUUAUAACAGUUGCAAUGAACAACAACAAAAAAAAGGCCUCUUCUGGCAUGCCAAAGCGUCUCCAAAUUGGUUGGACAAGUGCUUUUUUUGUCUUUUUUUUUUUUUUUUUUUUUUAAUUUCCAAACUUGACUUUACACAACUUUCUAGCUCUCCGUUGUUUUAUAAGUCCAGAAGCUGUACAUAAGAGUUGUAAAUAUUUACUUUGCCAGAAAAUGUUGGAUCUGAUUUAUCUGGUGCAGUACCUCCCUAUCUUGAAUUAAUUGCUGGACCCAAAUUUUACUGAUUACAACUGUGAUGCAUCAUCAGUUACUGCCCAUGAUAUUUUGAUGUUUUAAAUGAGGUGGACGAAAACAUUCCUUUUAAUUCCUGGUUUUACUUUAUGAAGGACUAUAAAAUGCUGCUAAAAUUGUACAAGUUUACGCUUUGCGUUAUUUUUUUUUUUUAAAUGGAGACAAUUUUUUUUUUUUUUCCUCAUGGUGACCAAAACAAACAUCUCUGUGUGCAGGGCAAGUGUUGAACAAUCAAGUCUGGAUUCAAUGAAUGUCAUUAUUUCUUUUGGUCUCAAAUGAGGCUUUGAGUGAGUUGAGCCAGAGUUUGCCAGAAUUUGCCAGUGAGCCCUGUGCAUAGGGUGGGAGCUACACAGGUGGCGUCUGCAAAAACCACUGGCGUCAGGCCAGGCUCCAGCUCCUGCAGAUACAGAGGGGUACAAGAAGAGGAUGUGUUACAGAAGUCAGGUCAGAUGUCUGCCUGUAAUACUUCGGAGUAGCUGUAGUCUGCACCAGUAAUGGAGACACAGGCAAGGACUUUUAUUUUUUUUGUUUUUUCAAAGGUGCCUUAGAAGCAGGGCCCUGCUCCCACAGGUGGCAGAUCAGCACCAAAACUCGCUGAGGCUCCACUGAAAAUCCUGGGUCUCUGCAGAGAGCACCUCGGUUUUGCGGCGAGCCUUUCGUCAGUGGAAGGGUCGGGACCUUCAGCUGCCCUGGUGUCUGUCUGCUAACAGGCUAUGCAAAGGGGCUACCUGUUGUAACAGAGUGGUUGGUUUUGUGGGAGUUUGGGUUUUUAAUCCUUGCUUUAGGAUUCUCUGAAGGUUAGAAAAAAGUGUAACAACUGGUUCCGCUGCACGCUGAGAUCAUUGAAUAUCAUGGAGGUGGUCUGAGCACUUGUUUCUGGCUGUUGCAGCCAGAGGUUUCUACACGUGUGCCUUGAAAAGAGGAGAAAAAUGGAAACUGGAAAACCAGGAAACCUGAAAAACAUUUUCAGCAGCGAGACACUAGCGGUGCAAGAGACUGUCGCUUCGUUUCUCUUGUACUGCUAAAGCCACAAGCCAUGUAGCUGCCUUUCAUUGCUUGUUCCGCCCUUUGGUGCUGACCCGUGAUUUCCAGAUCUCUUGUCCCUGGGUAAACUGUAUCAGUCAAACUCACAAAAUGCUCUCGACUCAACCUGGCCAUGAAAUUUUCUCUUCCUGAGGUUUUUGGGGGCCUUUCCUGCAAACACUCAUGUUGCACAGAAGUGUAUUCUGGCCAUGACCUGUGCUGGGUGGUGGUUUUUUUUUCCUCUCCCGUACUGGUAGAAACAUUCAAAGUGAUACUGUGUGUAAUGGUUGAAACCCGGAACAAAUAGCUGCAAAAGAAAUGCUAAUGCUCAGUUUCUUUGGGAUUACUGUUUGCUUGUUAGGAUGAGGGAGGGUCCUGGCAUGCAGCUUUUCCCUAGGAUGUUACUUGUGUAUUGGACUGCUUAUGGGUUUCCUGUAGAUGGUUUUGCUUUUGCAUUUUUAUCAUUUAUAUAUCAACGGAUGUAUAAUCCAAUGUUUCUACUUUACUAUUGAUGUCAAAUAAAGUAUUUUCAGUUAUGA